rnacentral:rRNA from 1 species
ACGGAAGGCAGCAGUGGGGAAUAUUGGUCAAUGGGGGCAACCCUGAACCAGCGACGCCGCGUGAGUGAAGAAGUAUUUCGGUAUGUAAAGCUCUAUCAGCAGGGAAGAUAAUGACAGUACCUGACUAAGAAGCACCGGCUAAAUACGUGCCAGCAGCCGCGGUAAUACGUAUGGAGCAAGCGUUAUCCGGAUUUACUGGGUGUAAAGGGAGCGUAGACGGUAAAGCAAGUCUGAAGUGAAAUCCCGGGGCUCAACCCCGGAACUGCUUUGGAAACUGUUUAACUAGAGUGCAGGAGAGGUAAGCGGAAUUCCUAGUGUAGCGGUGAAAUGCGUAGAUAUUAGGAGGAACACCAGUGGCGAAGGCGGCUUACUGGACUGUAACUGACGUUGAGGCUCGAAAGCGUGGGGAGCAAACAGGAUUAGAUACCCCGGUA